UACGAGGGGUCCAAGCGUUGCUCGGAAUCAUUGGGCGUAAAGCGGGUGUAGGUGGCUUUGUAAGUCAGGAGUGAAAGCCCUAGGCUCAACCUAAGGAAGUGCUUUUGAUACUUGCGAAGCUUGAAUGUGGGAGAGGAUCGUGGAAUUCCAGGUGUAGUGGUGAAAUACGUAGAUAUCUGGAGGAACACCGGUGGCGAAGGCGGCGAUCUGGCCCAACAUUGACACUCAGACCCGAAAGUGCGGGGAUCAAACAGG
rnacentral:rRNA from 1 species